UGUUUUUACAUGUAAAAUUCCUCUUCAAAAGUGCAAGAUUGAUGUCCUUUUUCUGGCUAGGGAAAGAAAAGCAAUAGCAGGAUGAAGACUGAUGAAAAAGGAAUUGAUGAAGAAAGUUGUUGAAAAAGGAAUUUCUGAUAAAGGCAACCAUUCUGCCUGUUUUGAUGUCAGGAGCUGUCCACAUGAGAAGCAGCUGGAUCACAAAUUGGUGAAAAUAACAGCACCAGAUUCUGCAAGGUCUCCGUAGUCAAGAUUCCUAUGUAACCAAACUCCUCAAGUAGGCAUCUUGUAUAUGUUAAGAUCGGAAAGCCCGAGAACCUUCAGUAAGCAGAACUUUUAAUACUAUAU
rnacentral:lncRNA from 1 species